rnacentral:ncRNA from 2 species
GACGCUACCGCGGGAGAGUCCGCCGGGCCCCUGUCACGGCCCGCCGGCGCCGAAGGAGCAACCACCCCGGAAACUCUCAGGCCUCAGGACCGCGGCAGCAGA